AUUGAACGCUGGCGGCAUGCUUUACACAUGCAAGUCGAACGGUAACAGGCCGCAAGGUGCUGACGAGUGGCGAACGGGUGAGUAAUACAUCGGAACGUGCCCGAUCGUGGGGGAUAACGCAGCGAAAGCUGUGCUAAUACCGCAUACGAACUACGGAUGAAAGCGGGGGAUCGCAAGACCUCGCGCGGACGGAGCGGCCGGUGGCAGAUUAGGUAGUUGGUGGGGUAAAGGCCCACCAAGCCGACGAUCUGUAGCUGGUCUGAGAGGACGACCAGCCACACUGGGACUGAGACACGGCCCAGACUCCUACGGGAGGCAGCAGUGGGGAAUUUUGGGCAAUGGGCGCAAGCCUGAUCCAGCCAUGCCGCGUGCAGGAUGAAGGCCUUCGGGUUGUAAACUGCUUUUGUACGGAACGAAAAGGUUUCUUUUAAUACAGGGAACUGAUGACGGUACCGUAAGAAUAAGCACCGGCUAACUACGUGCCAGCAGCCGCCGUAACAC
rnacentral:rRNA from 1 species